CUCCUGCCUGCUCCUGCCUUGGGGUGACCCUGGCCAAGGUCUGCAGACACGGGCCUGGAGUCCUUGGGCAGUGCGUGGUCAUUCCCUGGUGUUGCAGGGCUAAUCCCUGAAGAGAGCCUACAAGAAGGAUGAAGAGAGACUAUUUAUAAGGACAUGUAGUGACAGGGCAAGGGAGGAUGGUUUUAAAGUGAAAGAGAAUAGGUUUAGGUUUGGUAUUAGGAAGAAAUUCCUUACUGAGAACAUGGUGAGACACUGGCACAGGCAGCACAGUGAAGCUGUGACUCUUCAAGGCCAAGUUCCAGCUCCAUUCAAAUAAUUUCCAGUAAUUUUCCUUGCAGUCUGCUGAUACUGGCAAAGUUACUGCUGUGAAAAGUUAAAUCUCCUAAAACAGCUUUGAAUUGGAGUUGGGGAUAAACAAUGUUUAUUUGACUGAAAGCUUUAAUCAUUCUUCUAGCUAUCUGUUUUCUCAUUUCCCCAGUUACAAUUCCUGGGGUAGCACUAAUUGAGCCUUACUGAAAUUGAUCUCCGAGCUUUAUAAUUUGGACAGUUCUCCCACUUCCUCUUCCGUAGCCUUGAUCACUUGACAACCAUCUACCUGGGAUAAUAACUUGAUGCCUUGUAGCUUUUAAAGAAUAAUGCCUCAUCACACACAAAUAUAUGUGUAUAUAUCAUACUUUGUGUUACAAGAUACAGAAUUGGCAGUACAUGCUAGUGAGAUACUCUCCUAAUCACCAGAAGAAAUUUGGUUUCUCUUGUGUGGAGCUGGAGGCAGCUUUCCAUCACAUCUGUUUGAUUUGAUAAUUUUAUUUAUUGUUGGUCUGGUGUCUUUGACUCCAGCCAUGACAAUCUAAAAACCAAGCAUGGUAUCUUUCUGGUUUAACAAAUGCAGGUAAGAUUACAAACAGAACCAUCUGAAGCAAAGCCGAGAUAGACAACAAGUAACAAUAGUGACAGGGUGCAAGUGGGAGACAGAAAUAAUGAACAAUUAUCCUCUGUAGUUAUCAGAGUUAAGGAGGUUGGAACACUUCCUUGUGUAAGAGAUUCACUUGAGACGGGGUUCUGUUAAACUUGUUCCCAGAUAUUUUGUGUGUUGUCUUUUAACAUUUGCUCUCAUGUAACAAACAGAUAAGCUUUAUGUUUUAUUUUAACUGAGAUUCUGUUAAAGUUUUGUAUGUACUUUUUCUUUUCCUUUUGCAUGGUGGUAGGUUUUUUUCCCUGUUUUUUUUUUUUUUUUUUUUUUUUGUUUGUUUGUUUGUUUCCCUUAAAGGAAAGGUCCUAAUACAUCACUCACCAUCAUACAAUAGAGGGUUAAAAUUUUGGAAACAUUAAAUACAGCACCUUUCACUAUUAGACAGGUAGGAUCAUCAUAUUACAUUCACCUGCAACAUCUUCAAUAAAAUACUGGUUUUAUUCUGUCUCAGUGUUAUUCUGCUACUGGACAUUCUCUCACAAACCCUUAUAUAAACAUGCCUAACAAACCCCCAGCACUCAGCCUUUGGCUGCCUACAAUGUGGAUGGCAUUUAAUGAGCUUCCAGGAAGUGCAGGCCAUUAUUCAACCACAGCCACCUCUGUGGCUGAGAGAACAGUGCAGACCCUCUCAAACAAAGCUCCCAGUACCUGAGCUCAGAAACUCCUCUUCCAAAGCCUGUACAGCACUGUUGUUGUUAUUGGGUAACACUCAAUGCAGCAACAGUAUACAAAGGAGCACUAAUGUAUUUACAGUCAUUCCAGAGGCUUCAUCUCACUGUCCUCCUUCCAAAAGUGUUCAUAGCACUGAGUUUCAUGACUAAAAAGCCACCAAGAAACCCCAAGUACCAUUCAUGCUUGAACAGGUGUAACUUCAUUGUGAGAGGCACAGUCCUCAGCCCAGGAUCCUCUGUAGCUUGUCACCUGUGUGAGACACUGGACUUGUCUAGAAAUAAAACUGAAGACAGACUUUUCACAGAAGAGGAGACAAAAGGACAGGCAGCCAAUCAAUAACAUUGCUCAAUGACUCAAAGACCUGGGUCCCUGAAGGGUGCAAAAGGCAGUUCCAAAUUCAGCAUGUGGUCACCCAGCAACAAGAACCCAGGAAACCUGAUGACUCCCAAAUUGGCCUCCUUUGUCCUCAGCUGCACCACAAGUAAUCCUGGUUGGACUAGCCAGACAUACACAUCUUAGUCCUUGUUAAAAUGCAGGUAUGAAAAACAAGUGUGAAAGACUGACUGAAUGCAUUCUGCAGGAGAAUAAGCGUGACUGACUGAAAUCAGUUUUGUUUAAAAUAAAAUCACCUUCCCCUUCUAUACAGUCUCA